UCCAAUGAAAGAUAUCUACGCAUUGAUGC
rnacentral:sRNA from 1 species